rnacentral:rRNA from 1 species
UCCUACGGGAGGCAGCAGUGGGGAAUAUUGGACAAUGGGCGAAAGCCUGAUCCAGCAAUGCCGCGUGAGUGAUGAAGCCCUAGGGUCGUAAAGCUCUUUUACCCGGGAUGAUAAUGACAGUACCGGGAGAAUAAGCUCCGGCUAACUCCGUGCCAGCAGCCGCGGUAAUACGGAGGGAGCUAGCGUUGUUCGGAAUUACUGGGCGUAAAGCGUACGUAGGCGGUUAUUCAAGUCAGAGGUGAAAGCCCGGGGCUCAACCCCGGAACUGCCUUUGAAACUAGAUGGCUAGAAUCUUGGAGAGGUCAGUGGAAUUCCGAGUGUAGAGGUGAAAUUCGUAGAUAUUCGGAAGAACACCAGUGGCGAAGGCGACUGACUGGACAAGUAUUGACGCUGAGGUACGAAAGCGUGGGGAGCAAACAGGAUUAGAUACCCUGGUAGUCCACGCCGUAAACGAUGAUA